ACUCCUACGGGAGGCAGCAGUGGGAAGUAUUGCACAAUGGGGGAAACCCUGAUGCAGCCAUGCCGCGUGUGUGAAGAAGGCCUUCGGUUGUAAAGCACUUUCAGUAGGGAGGAAGGUAGUGUAGUUAACACCUGCAUUAUUUGACGUUACCUACAGAAGAAGCACCGGCUAACUCCGUGCCAGCAGCCGCGGUAAUACGGAGGGUGCGAGCGUUAAUCGGAAUUACUGGGCGUAAAGCGCAUGCAGGCGGCCUGUUAAGUCAGAUGUGAAAGCCCGGGGCUUAACCUCGGAAUUGCAUUUGAAACUGGCAGGCUAGAGUCUUGUAGAGGGGUUAGAAUUUCAGGUGUAGCGGUGAAAUGCGUAGAGAUCUGAAGGAAUACCGAGUGGCGAAGGCGGCCCCUGGACAAAGACUGACGCUCAGAUGCGAAAGCGUGGGAGCAAACAGGAUUAGAUACCCCUGGUAGACUGUCA
rnacentral:rRNA from 1 species